UAGGAGAGCCAUAUAGCAAGAGACAUGGAGU
rnacentral:piRNA from 1 species